AAUGAACGUGGCGGCGUGGAUUAGGCAUGCAAGUCGAGGGAGAACCCGCAAGGGGGACACCGGCGAACGGGGUAGGAUCACGUAGGUGACGUACCCCCAGGGCGAGGAUAGCCACGGGAAACUGUGGGUAAUACUCGAUAAUCUUCCGGGUCACACCGGAAGCAAUGGGUGAGAUUCCACCUGGGGAGCGGCUUACGCAGUAUCAGCUAGUUGGUGAGGUAACGGCUCACCAAGGCUAUGACGCUUAGGGGGUGUGAGAGCAUGGCCCCCACCACUGGCACUGAGACACUGGCCAGACACCUACGGGUGGCUGCAGUCGAGAAUCUUCGGCAAUGGACGAAAGUCUGACCGAGCGACGCCGCGUGCGGGAUGAAGGUCUUCGGAUUGUAAACCGCUGUCAGAGGGGAUGAAGUAUACGAGAGCUAUCUCUUGUAUUUGACAGAGCCUCAGAGGAAGCACGGGCUAAGUUCGUGCCAGCAGCCGCGGUAAUACGAACUGUGCGAACGUUAUUCGGAAUCACUGGGCUUAAAGGGUGCGUAGGCGGUUAACUAAGUCACGUGUGAAAUCUUCUGGCUCAACCAGAAAACUGCGCGUGAUACUGGAUAACUUGAGUGAGGUAGGGGUGUGUGGAACUUCCGGUGGAGCGGUGAAAUGUGUAGAGAUCGGAAGGAACGCCAGCAGCGAAAGCGGCACACUGGGCCUUGUCUGACGCUGAGGCACGAAAGCUAGGGGAGUGAACGGGAUUAGAUACCCCGGUAAUCCUAGCCGUAAACACUGAACACUGGAGGACGGGGGCUUCGGCCUUCGUUCUCGUAGCG
rnacentral:rRNA from 1 species